rnacentral:misc_RNA from 1 species
UGGCUCUCGCAUCGAUGAAGAACGCAGCGAAAUGCGAUAAGUAAUGUGAAUUGCAGAAUUCAGUGAAUCAUCGAAUCUUUGAACGCACCUUGCGCUCCUUGGUAUUCCGAGGAGCAUGCCUGUUUGAGUGUCAUGGUAUUCUCAAUUUUUCAAAUCUUUGUGGAUUUGGAAGGAUUGGAUGUGGAGGUUAUUGCUGGCAUAAUCCAUGUUGUGCUGGCUCCUCUCAAAUGCAUUAGCAAGAAUAUUGCUUUGUCAACCUCAGUGUGAUAAUUGUCUACGCUGUUGUUGCAUGGCAAAAAAUAAUAUAUUCCUGCUUUAAAUAGUCUUUGGACCAUUUCUUGACAUCUGACCUCAAAUCAGGUAGGACUACCCGCUGA